rnacentral:rRNA from 1 species
UAGGGAAUCUUCCGCAAUGGACGCAAGUCUGACGGAGCAACGCCGCGUGAGUGAAGAAGGAUUUCGGUUCGUAAAACUCUGUUGUUAGAGAAGAACAGCGCAUAGAGUAACUGUUAUGCGUGUGACGGUAUCUAACCAGAAAGCCACGGCUAACUACGUGCCAGCAGCCGCGGUAAUACGUAGGUGGCAAGCGUUGUCCGGAUUUAUUGGGCGUAAAGCGAGCGCAGGCGGUCAAUUAAGUCUGAUGUGAAAGCCCCCGGCUCAACCGGGGAGGGUCAUUGGAAACUGGAUGACUUGAGUGCAGAAGAGGAGAGUGGAAUUCCAGGGGUAGCGGUGAAAUGCGUAAAUAUAUGGAGGAACACCAGUGGCGAAGGCGACUCUCUGGUCUGUAACUGACGCUGAGGCUCGAAAGCGUGGGUAGCAAACAGG